AAUAAGUCAAGCUAGGAAAUGAGCUUUGUUAUGUAUUGCUGUGACAGCUAUGAAAAGAGUUCUGCUUGAAGAAAAAGGACUUGUUGGGAGUUAAAUGGCACAAUGGACAAAAUGAACAUUACUCACCUAAUUGUAUCUCCUGCACAUUUGGAGAUAAAUCCCAUAGAUUACAGCUGAAAGCUGCUUUUCAGAAUUUCGCAUUUUCAUGUGGGGAAUAGGAUUAAAUCAAGAAAGCACUCCUACCAGAAAUGCUGAUUCAUGAUGUUGAGAGAAGAUAGAAAUGACACAACUGAGGGGAAGAGGGAGAAGGAGUUCAGCUACACGUGUUGCUCCCCAGCCUCUAUCUCUGUCUGUUCAGCCUGUUCUCUGCUGCAUUCAGUAUCAGUAGGAUACAAGAGUGGCCAGAUGCUGGCCAAUGAGACUGUCUACAGAAAAGAUAAGUAGAUUAUACAUGAACCUACCAGUAUAUUUAUGACAGCUGUGUUACAUAUAGAUCUUUUGGAGACUAAAUUAUUACUACAGCUCUAGGGAUCAGUCACUCAGAAAAGGGACACUGCUGUUGCAGAAUGCUGUAGCUUUUGUAACAGGCUAUCAUUUGUCCCUUUAUAUUGAAACCCAUUUUUAGCCCACUUUAGAGUAGGAAAGCAGCUGUGGCAUUUGUGUGUUUUUUAUUGGCAGGCAGUUACUUCUUAAUGCUGAUGAGGUUAGAGGUUAAAAGCCAAAUAUCUGUUCAAUUCUAGCCAUCUAUUACAAAGCAGAAUUUAUAUACUGUGAAAUUUGGGUUGGCAGAAAUCAUUAAAAAAAAAAAGAAGAAGAAGAAGAAGAAGGGAAUUAAGCUGUAAAGGUGUGCCAACUCUCUUACAAGAACAGACUUAUCAUUUGUGGAAAAUACACCUACCAGAAGGCAUAGUAAAAAUGGUGGAAAAGUUACUUAAGCUGCCAGUUAUAAAAUAGCUACCUUCUGUCCAGAACUGUCCAUGCCAAAAAAGAUUUACCAGGAAAGAAAUCCCUGGAAAAGAGCACUUCUGUAGAAAGGACCAAAACAUUACAGAAGUUUUUUUUUUUUUUUUCUUUCUAUUUUACUUCUCAUGUACCUCAGUUAUGAAAAAAAAUCUCCAACAACAACAACAAAAAACUCAACAAUUUUUAAUUAAGUACAGAUGAAGAGCAGAGAGAUGUGCACCCUUCAGUAGAAGACUGAAAAGCACCCAGUGUUGAGAAAGUACCACUGAGGGACAUGGAGAUGAAACCAGCAUAGUCCAGAGUCUGUUCCAUGGCUCUCUUCUCCAGAAGUGAUUUCUUUUGAGAUAAAUCCUAUUCUGCCAUACAGCACUACUCGAUCCUUAUUCCUGAAAAGAGAAUCACUGAGGGUAAAGAAAGGAUCUGGGACAGUUCCUUUGGAAUACUGAUCAGGGAAAAAUGAGAAACAUGGUCUGAAACCACUGACAGAGGAAAUGAAGUGAGGACCUCACCAAUUAUUUGUUACUAAACAGAAUCCUGAAAUCAGCCUACUACCCUGAAGAUAUUUUCCAAAAUUUUUACUUUAUCCCUGGAGUUCUGAAUUUGGAACAACUAGGAAAACAGCUGUGCUAUCAAAGCAUUCUUGUCUCAAACAUAAAAAAUGCCAAAAUGGAACUGAAUGUUCUGCAGAAGUAUUCUGAGUAUUUA
ensembl:lncRNA